GGUGAUCAAAGUAUACAAGGCCUGCAGGCCAAAUCCAACCUACUGCCUGAUUUUGUAAAUACAGGCUUUUUUUAGAACCUGCAGCUGCCCUAAUUCAUUGAUGAAUUGUCUAUGGUGCUUUUGCAUUACAAUAGCAGAGGCCCUCUCAGAGCCUUUAAGAAGCCAGUAAGGAAAUCCAGCUGCAUUUCCCUGGAACCCUGUUGUCAUGGAGUGUCCCCAAUGCUGGGAUGCAUGUACCUGAGGGCAUAUGAAGACUUCUCAAGGGAUACAGUCAGCAGUGUUCGUGGAGCCCCUACGCUGUCCCGGACACCAUCCUAGAAGCAGGAAAUACAGCGAGGAACAAGACAGAAAGCGUGGUCUCGUCCUGGAGUUACAGCAGGAAUUCUGACCAUCCACUAUGACAGCCAGAGGCCACAAGAUUGAAAACUGAGAAGACAGAAAGACGGGCAAUACUUUAUUGAGAUGGACCUAAUCAGUUGGUGAAAAGUUGCAUGGGUGGAUGAGGUCUCAACCUGUCUGCGAUGGACUAAAGUGUGCUCCCUCCCUAGAUUCAUAGUUGAAGCCCUAAUCACCACUGUGACUAUAUUUGGAGAAAGAGCUUUUAGGAGGCAACCAGGGAGGAAGGCUCUCCUCUGCGACACGUGAAAAGUCCAGCUGAUGUCCAUUCUCCCCUGUGCAAGUCAUUAGCACACAGAGCCACCAAUGUCAAGUCCUUCCACUGACCACACACCAGAUCAUCAAGUAAAUCUUCUGCAAGGCCUGCUACAGCAACAAAGGAAGGGAGAAUUAUACUGGCAGGGUGAUGGCACAGCAUCCCAGAUGCUACAAACAGCGGGAGUAAAUGGAACACGACAUUUCUUCCCCAGCACUGGGCGGAGGAGGCUAUUAGUAAAUUGACUAAGAGCUCACACACGCCUGGAGCAGCAGCAGUGAGAUCUCCACUGCUGGGCCAACCUUUGGUUUUUAAAUACAUUCUGCCCACAGGUGGCCCAAUGUUUU